GCAACGGUUUCUAAUUGUGUAAAAUAUUGGAUGGUGUUAAGUUCAUUCAUGAACUUAGGAAAUACGCCUGCGGUUCCUAAUUGUGUAAAAUGUUGGUCAAGUUAGACCCUGUAGUCAGAUAAAACAUUAGUCACAAUCAGAGACCAUGGAGGUGUUUUCUUCUUUUAGGGACGAACUUAGUACGACCCCACAUUUUCAGGGAUCAAUUUGC
rnacentral:pre_miRNA from 1 species